ACGGUAAUAUGGGCGAACGCUGAGCAGCCACGUCGCGUGAUGAUGAAGGCCCUAUGGGUGGUAAACUGCUUUUAUACGGGGAUAAAAUGAGGGACUGUCAAUUUUUGUAGGUACCCUAUGAAUAAGGACCCGCUGUUUAAUGCCAGCAGCCGCGGUAAUAAGUAA
rnacentral:rRNA from 1 species